AUCUAGCUGACGAGUCCCAAAUAGGACGAAAUGCUCGUCAAACUGGAU
rnacentral:hammerhead_ribozyme from 1 species